GACGAACGCUGGCGGCGUGCUUAACACAUGCAAGUCGAGCGGUAAGGCCCUUUCGGGGGUACACGAGCGGCGAACGGGUGAGUAACACGUGGGUGACCUGCCCUCAGCUCUGGGAUAAGCCUGGGAAACCGGGUCUAAUACUGGAUAUGACUCCAUGACGCAUGUUGUGGGGUGGAAAGCCUUGUGCGGCUGAGGAUGGGCCCGCGGCCUAUCAGCUUGUUGGUGGGGUGANGGCCUACCAAGGCGACGACGGGUAGCUGGUCCGAGAGGAUGACCAGCCACAUUGGGACUGAGACACGGCCCAGACUCCUACGGGAGGCAGCAGUGGGGAAUCUUGCGCAAUGGGCGAAAGCCUGACGCAGCGACGCCGCGUGUGGGAUGACGGCCU
rnacentral:rRNA from 1 species